rnacentral:rRNA from 1 species
CCACUUGGGGAUAACCUUGCGAAAGUAAGACUAAUACCCAAUGACGUCUCUAGAGGACAUCUGAAAGAGAUUAAAGAUUUAUCGGUGAUGGAUGGGGAUGCGUCUGAUUAGCUUGUUGGCGGGGUAACGGCCCACCAAGGCUACGAUCAGUAGGGGUUCUGAGAGGAAGGUCCCCCACAUUGGAACUGAGACACGGUCCAAACUCCUACGGGAGGCAGCAGUGAGGAAUAUUGGUCAAUGGACGAGAGUCUGAACCAGCCAAGUAGCGUGCAGGAUGACGGCCCUAUGGGUUGUAAACUGCUUUUAUAAGGGAAUAAAGUGAGUCUCGUGAGACUUUUUGCAUGUACCUUAUGAAUAAGGACCGGCUAAUUCCGUGCCAGCAGCCGCGGUAACACGGAAGGUCCGGGCGUUAUCCGGAUUUAUUGGGUUUAAAGGGAGCGUAGGCCGGAGAUUAAGCGUGUUGUGAAAUGUAGAUGCUCAACAUCUGCACUGCAGCGCGAACUGGUUUCCUUGAGUACGCACAAAGUGGGCGGAAUUCGUGGUGUAGCGGUGAAAUGCUUAGAUAUCACGAAGAACUCCGAUUGCGAAGGCAGCUCACUGGAGCGCAACUGACGCUGAAGCUCGAAAGUGCGGGUAUCGAACAGGAUUAGAUACCCUGGUAGUCCGCACGGUGAACGAUGGAUGCCCGCUGUUGGUCUGAAUAGGUCAGCGGCCAAGCGAAAGCAUUAAGCAUCCCACCUGGGGAGUACGCCGGCAACGGUGCAACUCAAAUGAAUUGACGG